CAGCGGAGCUCGCUCUGCUCGGCCGGCCUCGGCCCAGAAGAAGGCGACUGGGCUGCGCAGGGCCGAGCUCCCCUCUCUGAAGGCACAGCUGCCAGGGCAGCAGAGGAAAAUGCCAGUUUGGAUCAAAGCCCCUGGCUCACCCAUCAGUAAGGGAGGAGAAGGAGAAGCAUCUUGGUCCUCAUGGGCUGAUAUCUUCCAAG